CAAGGACGGGAAGUUAGACAAAGAUGAGAUUCGCCACUGGAUCCUCCCUCAAGAUUAUGAUCAUGCACAGGCUGAGGCCAGGCAUCUGGUAUAUGAAUCAGACAAAAACAAGGAUGAGAAGCUAACUAAAGAGGAAAUAUUGGAGAACUGGAACAUGUUUGUCGGAAGCCAAGCUACCAAUUACGGGGAAGAUCUCACAAAAAAUCAUGAUGAGCUUUGAUAGACACUCACCAGAAUAUGGCAGACUGUCAUAGGCAUUCUGUUAUUGUCUUGGAUUGUUGCUACAAUUGUCUAAUUUACAGCAGUUGUGAUCCCACAAAAAGCAAGUUUAUACCUCAGAUUGGGGUAUAAAAAUUGUUUUUCGCUCAGUAUUUACUGGAAAAUGGACAUCACUAGUCUUUCAGUAAGAUUUCUCUCAAAACACGUGAAAACCUUGGUAAAUUGCAAUUCUUUCUGGGGAUAUAUUGGUACAACAUGACUUAAAACUUUUUUUUUUCUAUUAAAACUUAAAGGGGAACAAAACUUGAAAAAGCCCUGUUCUUCAGAAGGUGAGUGGGUUGAGGGAGGCAGUAAUAUGAAGUGACUGCUGUGUAUUUUAACUACCAGAUUUUUUAUAUUUGCCACUGUUAAAUAGUUGGAAAGGGGAAAUUCUGAUUAAGCGAAAGUGGUAUCAUCCUAGGUAAGCUUAUUUCAGAACAAGUCUAAUAUUUCAGAUUCUUUCUUUUCGACUUUAUACUCUGAGUUAUUACUUACUGUAAGUGGUGUAUAUGAAACCUCCAUGCAUUUUCCAGUAUGGAUCUGCUAAUAUGCACAGUAAAUCCAUGUCUUUGUUUGUUUUUCUAUUAAAAAGCAAUCAAGAAAGAUAAUGUGAAAAAGAAAGGAAUUUAGAGGUAGGGAAAAGAUGAAUGUCAGACAUUUGAAGAACUAUAGUAAAAUGAUAAACACUAAAUAUACUUGAGAAAACUUUCUUAAUAUGCCAAUGAGGUAGGCCUGAUCUUUGAAAUAGUGAAUAGGAAUACAAUGCAUUUCCUCAGUGAUCACUGAUUAGAAUGAGUUGGUGGGAUCCUUGGGAAGCCAAACGGAGCGGAGUUCUGGAUCAUGUCCCAUCCAGUCCAGUGAAUCCACGACCCGCAGACCUGUCCCCCCGCAACAGCUUAUACCAUGGAAUGAGGACAAGGUGAUACUCUGAGCUGUGGACUGAACUGGCAGACACAACCUGUACAGAUUGAAAUUUCACCUUGUAAGGAGGAAGUGAAUGAAAUAAAGGAUCCCC
rnacentral:lncRNA from 1 species